GGUGGCUCAGUGGUACAGCGCUUGCCUCACAUGCAUGAAGCCCUGGGUUCCAGUCCCCAGCACCA
rnacentral:tRNA from 1 species